CUUGGAGCAGGGUUCUGUAUAGUCAAAGAAUGCUCCAACUUCGUACGUAGACUACAGGGACCAGCGGCCCCCAACUUCCUACAGCUGUCCCCAGCUCGACGGCCACUUCGUAGACAAGUCGUGCGACAUCUAGAUCAACAUGCGGCAGGCGAGUGACUAAACUGAAGUGCGCUUGCACGGAACACUGAAAUAAGACUUGUAAAAAAAUGAAGUAUUUUUGCGUUGGUCUCACAGUCUGCCUGUUCGGUAUUGUAGCGGACGCUCACUCUGGACUUCUGGCGUCGAGAAAUUUCAGACAGAUAUCGGAAAG